CAGCAACACCGGGGACCAUCUUCGAGGUGCAAACCAGACAAAGAGCAAGUACGGCUGAAUCCCAGACGGCGAGACGGGGCCGAGCACCAGACAGCUGGAAGGCUCACGAGGAUGUGCUGGAUGGGAGCAGCGCAGCCAGGCGAGCACAGAAACCCCGGUCCCUCCAGCCCGGCACAAGGCCAGCAGCCCAGCUCAAGCGCUCCCUCCGGACCCACCUCGGAUGGUCUGCGGUUCAUUUAGUGACUGGCCUGAACUUCAGCGCUGGAAGGGUGGAUGUUCCACCACCUCAACAGUAACUGAAUCCCAUCCACAACUGUAGCAGCGGUUUCAGAUGCUGACUUGAAUGAAACGUUUUCCCACAAUUUCCAAAUUUAAUUCUCAAUAGUGAAAGGGUGAGAGGUUCAGAAAUAACACAGGAUCAGGUGACCACUGAGAAGUGAAUAAAAUAGAGCAAACUCUUGGUCUUUAUUGCCCGUCACUGCAGCAGGACUUCUACUAUAUUGUGGAAAACAAAAUGAAAGACCUGGCAAAUAUGUAAGAGUAAUAUACCUCCAGCUGCAUGUAAUAAGACUGCAAUAGCAUUAAGAACUCCUGAGGUCAUUACAAACGACAGAUACAGGGCUCCACAGAUUAUUUACUUUCAUGAGGGACACAGGACAAAAUUAUAUGUACCUGAAUAUAUGUAGACUUUGUGAAUAUAUUAUUAGCUACAGUCAAGACUCUGAUUUUGCCACAAGAAUCAUUAGGAAAUACAGUUUUGGUGAAAAGUUAAAUAAGGUAUAAUUUCACCCAAAUACUUUAAGCCUCCAAAUAAAUGAGCAUUUUAUUUUUCAUUUUAAUGGGAACACAUACCUCUUGUGAAUACUCUUAUCAUGUAUAUGCAAACAAAGGUUUAAAUAUAUUUAACAGGCCAGAAUUUGUCUCAAGGUCAGUUGUACUGAAAUUUGUCCCUAAAUGUAGUUAAGUUUGUGUCUUCACAUUUUCUGGGUAAGAUUUUUAUAGUUUCGAUGCCAUUAUGAAGAACUGCCAUAAGAAUGUCCAUGUGAGAACUUCACAUGAAAACAGUAAAUAAAAGCAGCAUUUGUCACC